ACUUCUUGAUUGUGUUGUAGAGAAUCCAGAUAAGAGCGGUCGGGAUGCUUCCCUAUUAACUCCUGUCAGACAGACUCGAGGAAGAGAGCCUUUUAUCGCAGAAAAAGUGACAUCAGCAAACAAAAAGCCCCCACUGUUCAAUCCAGCCACAUUAAUUGCCAAGGAAACUAUGGAGCAAUUUGUUAGCGCCUAAGAGAAAGGAUUAUCCUCGGAGCAGGGUAUAUUUUACAGAUUUGUUGUGCCUUGGCCAUUUUGCUGCAGAGGAGAAGGCAAAGGAAAAAGGUGCGAUAUAUUACGUUACAAGGCUUUUUGCUGUUGAUAGUAAUGCUGUUCAUCUGAGAAGGCAAUUUUCAAUGGGACAGUUCCAUCCCAAAAAAGUCUCAGUUUAAUUCUCUUUGAGGCAUUCGAAGAAAAUUGGCACAGGAGGUCGUACACAAGGCUGUGAGAGGAUUUCUCUUUACAAGUUCAUUAGUCUGAAAAAAAAUCAAUUAGAAAUUGAUUUAUUGAUUGCUAAAAAGAAACCAAAGGAAAGAGAAGGAAGAUAGAAAAGAAAGGAAAUAGAUAACAAAGGUAAAAUAUUGGAUAACAGAACUCAAAAUUAGGAGUUGAUAAUAGAAGCGACAAAGUGGAGCUGGACCUGACAUUACCUAGCAUCUUGUGUCUUGGGGAAAACUCGUCAGGGUUUUUAUAUCUAGUCAAAAGAACAGCUGCUUCAACAAGCCUUUGAGGAUUAGAUGCUCGUGAUUCAUGCCGCAGAUGACGGACUGCGAGACAUCCACAACGUCGCUCGAAACAUUCGUGAACACAGGGCGGACGGGGAGACGGAAUGCGUUGCCAGACAUCCUUGAUGCACAGCAUGCCGCCGUAGG
rnacentral:lncRNA from 1 species